AGUGAACGCUGGCGGUAGGCCUAACACAUGCAAGUCGAACGGCAGCACAGUAAGAGCUUGCUCUUACAGGUGGCGAGUGGCGGACGGGUGAGGAAUACAUCGGAAUCUACUUUUUCGUGGGGGGUAACGUAGGGAAACUUACGCUAAUACCGCAUACGACCUACGGGUGAAAGCAGGGGAUCUUCGCACCUUGCGCGAUUGAAUGAGCCGAUGUCGGAUUAGCUAGUUGGCGGGGUAAAGGCCCACCAAGGCGACGAUCCGUAGCUGGUCUGAGAGGAUGAUCAGCCACACUGGAACUGAGACACGGUCCAGACUCCUACGGGAGGCAGCAGUGGGGAAUAUUGGACAAUGGGCGCAAGCCUGAUCCAGCCAUACCGCGUGGGUGAAGAAGGCCUUCGGGUUGUAAAGCCCUUUUGUUGGGAAAGAAAAGCAGCAGGUUAAUACCCCGCUGUUCUGACGGUACCCAAAGAAUAAGCACCGGCUAACUUCGUG
rnacentral:rRNA from 1 species